GCUCCUGUGGCCUAAUGGAUAAGGCGUUGGAUUCCGAAUCCAAAGCAUGUGGGUUCGAUCCCCACCAGGAGCU